CAGCAGAACAACACACAACAUUUAGCACACUGAUUUACAUGGGGUCCUAAUGUGCGCUCUCUUCAAAUCCACCAAAGACUCUGCUGCCCCGGUCCAUAACCGUUAACUACAUAUACAGAUCACAUUAUAAUGUUGUUAAUUAUUCUAAUAAGUUAUAAAUAACAUUAGUUUGGACAUAACGUGACGUCUGACAUAGCAUAAACUAGCAACGUUAGCAUUGGCUAAUUGCAGUCGGAUUCAGACUCCUCGGUCGUUAAUUAAGAUUGAGUAAUAUUUUGAAACGGCUGCAAUGAGAGUUCGGAGACAGACGAACCUUUAAACAGCUGGAGAGCAGUCGUCAGUUGAGCCGCUUAGCGGUGCGACUUCUAGCAAAACUAAAAAGACGUUAGCGGGCUAGCUACAUCAAUCUGAGGUUUACCGUCACAGGGCCGGAGGAACAACGAGGUUCUUCUGUUGUGAGAUUGUUGCCCAAGGACACAAGGACAUGGACUAGCAGAGCUGGGAUCGAACCACCAAUCCUCUGAUUGAAGGACGACCCCGCUCUACGACGCUUUAAGCCGUUUCGUUUUCUACGUCAGCAAACACAGAGCCUUCCUUGCCUGUCUACAUCAUUGGCAGCUCAGUUUGGUUUUUACCUCUGCGAACAGAGAGUUCCCUUUGCUGUUGGGAUCUUGGGCCUGCUGCAGAACCUGGUCCAACUGGAUCUGGAGGUCUCGGUUCGCAUCGCGACAUUUCUGCGGAGACAGAGAGACGCAAAGACGUACAGCAUGAGCAUCCAGACAUGGGAGACAAAGAGAUGCACAGACUGCAUGUUCACAUGCAAUCGCAUGCUUUGCUCCAGGCGGCGCUCCAGCUGCUGCCCUUUGUACUGAGACUCCUUCAGCAUCUGCUCCAACUCCACCUGGUAGACGGGACUCAUUAACACAGGAUGGGAAAGAGCAGCAGAUUACAGUACAAGAAGUUAAAGGCUGCAGAAUGUAGGCGAUUAGGAUUACAUUGUCACUGAAGAACGGUACAAAGGCAGAUUAACUCCAGAUAAGCCUGGUUUCUCCAGCUCUGCUCCCGCUCACCAUAAUGCUCUCCAGCUCCAUGUUCUUCAUCUGCCCCUCCAGCAUCUCAGAUGUCAUGGAGCUCUGGGUGUGCUCGCUUAAACCUCGCAGCUCCUCCGUCUUGUUAUUCAGAGUCUCGGUCUGCACCUGGAGUUUGUUUUUCAGGUGUUGCUCACUCAGCUGGGAUUCCUCCAGGGUGGACUGCAAACUCAGAAUCUGGGACGACACGCAGGACAAACAUGUUGAGCAACACCGCGGGGAUCAGAAGGUUUGCCGUUAAUUAACCUCGUCUGUGGCGGCCCGCCAAAGUGUGUUUUAGCCCAUCGUAAAAUCAUAAUCCACCGAAAAUAAUACAUGUUUACGUUCUGUAUUCUAAAUGUUGCAGCUGGUUAAGUUUAACUACUUUAUUUCCUUAAUAAUUAGGCUAUAUACACUACUUAAUAAAUCAUAGUUUAUUAGCUCAUUUGUAUUUCCUAGUAAGAGUGCGAAUCUGCAAAGUAGCCGAACUAGUAACUAAUAUUGUCAAAUGAAUGUAGUGAGGUUAGAAAUAUCAUAUUUCUCUCCGAGAUGUAGUGGACUAGUAGUGUCAAAUUACAUGAAAUGGAAAUACUCUUGUACAGUAGGCUACAAGUACCUCAAUAUUGUACUUAAGUACAAUACUUAAAUGUACUUAGUAGUAGUUCCUCCUCCUCCAUGAUCAAACUUGCACGAGUAACACAAACUUGCUCUGCGUAUGGCGUGAACACAGCAUUAGAGGAAUAGUUAUGGAUUUAUGGAUGGAGCAGUGGUGUAUACAACACUAAUGAUGGCUCUACUAUCACCAAGUGUGCCAGUAAAGCAAGACAGUGAGCCAUCAUCAAUGUUAUCAGCAACACCUGUGCUUUUCGUACUAUGACAUUUACUAACGUCUGCUGUGAAGACCAGACCAGACCGCAGCUCGUUGUACCUUCUUGUUGAGCUCCUUGAGCGCUGUGCCGUGGCUCCUCUCCAGGUGCAUCUGUUGGUCCUCGAGCUGCCGCGUCUGCUGGUUCUUCAAACAGUCGAGGUCCGACUGCAGAGAGUUCUGCAUCCGGGUCUUUAACUCCACUUCCUUCUGAAGGGAGUACUUCUCUUGCUCGAGGGCCUUCGACAAAAAAAAAAAAAAAAAAGGCGUAGAGGUUUGAAACAAUUCAGAAGAAUCCACAGACCGACCUGUAAGCAGCGCUCCAAGGCUAUUCAGUGCAAGCAUUGGUGUGCUGAUGUGUUAAACUAAGGGAGCACACCAGUGCAAAGGACUAGAACCAGAAGAGAAUGUUCGACUGUUGACAGUUCUGUUCUAGGGUGGUUGCAAAGCAGCAACUACAGUCAGUUGUGUCAUUUUGUCCGAUUUGGCUAAAUUGAGCCUCUGUGGUGCGGGCAUCAUACCUCCAUAGCGUUGGUCAUCUCCACCCUCUGUUCGUCCAGUCUGGUCUGCAUUUCCAUCUGCUGGUUGAGGAGAUCCAGACCAGCUCGGGCGGCCUGCUGGACCUGCUCCUCUUUCUCCCGCAGCUGGCUCCUCAGGUGCCGCAUCUCCUCUUCCGCCGCCAUCUGGAGAGUGAUCAGAUGGUCGUGUUCUUGUGGAGAGGGUGCAAAGACCAGAGGGGGGGGGGUCUCCCUGUGACGUCACGCUCCCACAGGUUACAGAUUCACUUUUGGUGCUCGUGAUUUUGGUUUUAAGUGUGCAACUAUAUUCCUUUUUAUCUGAGGUAACGUUAUGAAAUCUGCGUAAGUAUUUUGUGACGUAACGUUACACAUAAUGUAUCAGAUCAGCGUCAUUUUAACUUCGUGGCUAUGUGUACGUGCAGGUCUGCAGCACAGAUACUGAAGCGUUUAUCCAAUGAACGUUAACGUUGUGUGUAGCGAACGCUGUGUCCUAGUAACUGCACGUUAAAUACAGUAGUUAGCCCCAUCAAGUGUUAAAGCAUCAGCCCUGAAAAAUAAGCAGCUGAAAAAAAAACACACAUAAGCUAGCUAGCUAAAUGGUUAUUGACUCCGAGAUAGCACUACGUUAGCACCACUAGCUAAGUAACACAACGACACCGGCAGUUAUAUGGACCAAAAAACUAAUAAACGUUAACGCUAUAACAUUAGCGUUAGCUAACGUUAACCAUUUUAUCAACAACAAUGGCGCUUGAACUAACCCCGGCUCGUUUUUCAUCAGACAGAACACUGUUCACAUGAGGAAGUCCCUUGAGAAGGGCGACCAAGUAACUCUGGAGAUCACUUGUUAAAUUGGUAAAGACAAUGGCUAUAAGUAUAACAAAUGAAUGCAUUUAACGUUAGCUGCCCAACGUUACCUUUCCACUGAUCAGGUCAAACCGCUUUAGGUUUGAAUUCAGCUCCCGUGAACUAUCGCGAGACGUGGCUUCACGUGCCCUGAUUGGCCCAGCAGGGGCCAGUGAUAAAUAAGUCUUCUUCUUCUUCUUUUUUGUUUUUUGGCGGAUGGCAUCCAGUGAAAGGUGCAUUACCGCCACCUACUAUAUUGGAGUGUGGAUCCGAUAACAUAUCCCUUUACAAAACCUAAAACAAACAACAAAAAAACUAAACUAAAUAAUAUAAAACAAAAAACAAAAUAAAACAAAACCAAAAAAAGGAGUUCUCCAUUUCAGAGACUUAAAUUAUUUUGCUCAAUCCUGUUUCUUUCACAUAUUGUAGUAUGUUUCCUGCCCCCAAGGUUAAUGCAUCUUUUAGAUUGAGUUCCUCCACUCCCAGCCUCCUCUUCAACCUGUCUCGCUCAAGUGAGAAUUUCUGGCAAUGACAUAUGAUAUGGUCUACAGAUUCUGAUAUCUGGCAGUGCUCACAUAGUCCUGUUGGGUGUUUAUUUUUUAGUUGCAUUGUUUCGUUCAGCCUUGUGUGUCCAAUCCUCAGUCUGGUUAAUAUGUUUUCUUCUGUGGUGCUUCUUCUAGAUGGCCUCCCUUUGCCAACUUCUUUCUGAACAGCAUAAAGAUGUCUUCCUGUGUCUCCUACAUCCCAACUGUGCUGCCAUUCCUUAAUAAUAUUUAUUUUGAUUAUUGAUUUAGCUGCUGCUUUGCUGAGUAAAAUGUCUGUCUUGUGCUGACUUCCUAAAGCUUGUUUUGCUAAUGUAUCUGCUCUUUCGUUUCCUUUUACCCCUCUGUGUGCUGGUACCCACAGAAAUGAUACAAAAAUACCCAUAUUCUUAAGUCAGAACAGUGUUUCGUACAUUUCAUUAAUUAAAUCCUGCCUGCUAUGAGAUGUGAAUGAUUGUAAUGAGGAUAAUGCUGAACUGCAAUCUGAACAGACGACCUUUUCGAGCCGAACCUCCUCUACCCACUGCAGUGCUGUUAUAAUUGCCAACGUCUCAACUGUAUAAGCAGACAGAUGAUCUGAUGUUCUCCUUUUAACUUCAUAUUGCAAGGUUGGUAUGGUGACUGCAAAACCAGUUCUACCUGUAUUAGGAUCUUUAGACCCAUCUAUGUAUGCUGGAGUAAAUGAUUGAUAUGUUGUCUGUAGUCUAUCCUCCACCACUCCAGCCAUGUUAUCAAUAUCUUUAAAUGCCUGGGUUUUGUCCAAAAAAUAAUUAUUAACUAACACUGAGGGAAAUAGCCACGGUGGUGUUGAUAACGGUACUGUAGGAGUGAAUGUUAUCUGAUCCAAUGACAUAUAUCUUGCUAAUUUUCCAUUGCUCCAUGCAAAACAUUCCUGUUUGGCCCUUUCUCUUUCCCAGCAUGGCAGAAGCACCUUUGUAGUUGGAUGAUUAUCUCCAGAAUGUCCUUGCAGAUUGGCCCAGUAAUUCAUAGCUAAGAGCUUGCGUCUCAAAUGAUAAAUAAGUCAUAUGAUUUAGAGAUAUACAUGAUGCAGCUCAGCCAAUCAAAUAUGGGUAUUCUGAUAAGUUU